CCUUCGAUAGCUCAUUUGGUAGAGCGGUGGACUGUAGAUCCAUAGGUCGCUGGUUCAAAUCCGGCUCGAAGGA
rnacentral:tRNA from 1 species